GGGGACUAGAGCUAAGGGUGGGGCCUCGCGGUGAGUGCAGCCGGGGACGGGACCCAAGGCUGGCGACGGGACCCAAGGCUGGCGACGCGACCUAAGGCAGUGGGCGGGCCCUUGGCGAUGAACGCAGUCGGGGACUAAAGCUGGACGCGGGGCAGAGGAGGGUCCUCCUCGGAUAGUGAGCGCGGUCUCCAGCGGCGAGCGAGGCCUGGGGUGAGGACUCA
rnacentral:lncRNA from 1 species